CACUCGAUAAGACAAGCUGCCAUGUUGGAAAGGACUACAUGGGAAGGAACUGAAGGUGGUCUCUGGGCCAACAGCCAGCAAGGAACUGAGGCCCUCAACCCAACAAUCCUCAAGGAACAAAAUCUUGUCAACAAUACACGAACGAAUGUGGUGGUAGAUUCUUUCUCAGUUGGGCCUUCAGGAACAAUCUUUUGAAAAUCUCCUUGGAAGGCACAUCCAGCUCAAAGAUGACCAUGGGAAUGAUUGACCUAGAUUCCAGGAGGCUGAUUUGAUACUUAGUUACAGGA